AACAAUAUCAUAUCUGAACCAUGAUGGGGCAGAUUAUUGUGUAAAGUUUGGCAGAAAAUGAUUGGCUUCUUUACUACAUGGCAGGCCCCUGGACAUGACCAAGUUGGAAGUAUCCACCUUACCAAGAAUGGGCUUUCCAGAACUCACUUAAAAGCAAAAUAUUUCAACUGAAAAUCAGAACUUGAAGGACAACUCAAAAACUGAGCCAUGAUAUGUAAAGUGAGCAUAGGAAGAUACUGGAAGAAAGGGAGAUGGCAGUAAACUGACUGAGGAAUAAUACCAGGGAAGAAGAGAUUUGGAAGUAGGAGGCUCCUGCUUCCAUUUGGCACUGCCACAGACUCCCUCAUCCUGCUGGAGAAAGCCAGUUAAAACAGAAGGAUCAAACAGUAUCAGAGUCUUACAAUAUGAAAGGACCAAGUGACCUUAAAAAUAAAAAACACUCAUCACAAGCAUUUCCAUUAUGCAACUAUUAAAAAUAUAAAUCAGGAGAAAUAUCAAUAAAUGCUCAUGUGACAGUGUUUAAUCUUACAAAUGACUUAGAUUGGUGGGAAAUGUAAGAGAUUGUAGUUACUGGCUAUUAAUUUCAAUCUCAGAAGUCUUGCCAGAGAUGAGUACACAAAGCUUUACGAAUAUUGUGCACUGAGCCUGACAUUGUGGUAAACCUAUAUAUAUAUAUAUAUAUAUAAUAGAACCCUGUGAAUGAAGCUUGGAAGGAGACUGACAUGAAGGUAACAAAAUCACCAGAACAUGAACUAAUGGCUUUGAUUUAUGGA